UUUCCUGAACGCUGAUUGCGUGUUAGUCGUGUGCACGUUUAUGGCGGCAGUUGCUUUAUGUGCCAUGUGGGGCUCCCGUUAUUUACUUUUGUUGAAGAAAAUUUGCAGAACAUCUUGACAGAAGUUACUGUGAUGGCAGUCUAAUUACUUCGAGUGUACGAUGCCGCUCUACAAGGUUCGACCUAAACCGCGGACAAGCCCCGGCGGGAGUGCCGCGCUUUGGCUCCCUGCUCCCCAUAAUGCCUGGCGUGUCUUCAGGGAGCAGCAAUCCUGCUGAAAGAUGAGUCGUCCUCCCAGCUCUCUGCAUGGCCGCUGCGACCACAGGCUGGACCACGUGUACCUCUUUGCUGUGAAUGAUGCCGUACCAUCUGUCGUUCUUCUGCCUGAAUUCUGCUCCUGGAGGAUGUUGAUUUGUUGAGCUGCUAGAUGGCAGACCUGUCUGGAUGGAGAUGAGAUCUGGACUUGCCUGAGAAGGACAUGAUGGGUUUUAUUGGAUUCUCCCCAUGUCUGUGGGUGGUGCGCUACAAGACCUUCGACCUACUGCAGAUUGCCGAAACAUGGAUAAACCCAAACCAUCAACCCCACAUAGUGUUUUUUUAUUAUGGUAAUUGAUUAUGUGCAGUAAGACAUUACUAGCAUACAAAUAUGCUAAUUAUACAAACUGUACUCUUGAAUGAAAGGAGUUGACAUUUUAGUCUAAUUUUCAAGGGAUGAUGGAAAAGAUGUAUCAGGGGAUGACAGGGCAAUUAAAACUGUGGUUUUAUAAAUUGACUAAGAAGGGAUUACACUCCUCUAGGUGUGACUGGUUUAAAUGCUACUGCAAACUUGCAUUGUGUCUCUGUAGCUAAAUACAUACUUGCCUUAAGAUUAAAAGACACCAAUAAGCAAAGCUGUUUCAAUGUGGGUUUUUUAUUUUUUUUUUGGGUGGAGGGGUGUCAAAGCUGAUCUUGGACCAUGCUGUGUUACCUGGUCCCUGCCAGAGGCCUACCUGUGUUUGGGUCGCUUCCAUCUGACAUUACCAUGUACUAUUGGUACCUAGGGGACCUUUGCUGCCUAUAGCAGCAAAAAUGUAGUGUAUGGGCAAAUGUGCAUCUGGUGUUCAAGUGCAACUUAAGUAGUGUGUCCAGGGUACUGAGAUUUGUAUGCUCUAGACCAAUAUAACAUGCACAGAGAAAAUAUUAUUAAAGGUCAAUUUCACUGCAACAA